rnacentral:rRNA from 1 species
CCUACGGGUGGCAGCAGUGAGGAAUAUUGGUCAAUGGGCGCGAGCCUGAACCAGCCAAGUAGCGUGAAGGAUGACUGCCCUACGGGUUGUAAACUUCUUUUAUAAAGGAAUAAAGUGAGGCACGUGUGCCUUUUUGUAGGUACUUUAUGAAUAAGGAUCGGCUAACUCCGUGCCAGCAGCCGCGGUAAUACGGAGGAUCCGAGCGUUAUCCGGGUUUAUUGGGUUUAAAGGGAGCGUAGAUGGGUUGUUAAGUUAGUUGUGAAAUUGUGCGGCUCAACCCUAAAAUGGCAAUUGAUACUGGGAGUCUUGAGUACAGGUGAGGUAUGCGGAAUGCGUGGUGUAGCGGUGAAAUGCUUAGAUAUCACGAAGAACUCCGAUUGCGAAGGCAGCCUACGAAACUGCCACUGACAUUGAUGCUCGAAAGUGUGGGUAUCAAACAGGAUUAGAUACCCUUGUAGUC